CUGACUGCGUUGGGCAGAAUUUGUUUGGAAAGUUCUGUUUCAAAGAUCCCAAUGCCUUCACUCUCCAGGAAAACCACGGCAUCCUGCCCUGUUAGAUGACUAAAUUUUAGAUUGGAAGAUCAGGAAUCAAGGACACUGGCUCCUGGGAACCCAAGAGUGAUAUGUGGAUUGGAACUCAGAGUGAGGGACCCUUUCUCUUCUCAAGCCCUGUGCACCCCAAUGGAGGAAAGGUGGCAGGAAUAGCCUCAGAGAUGACUCAGGAAAAUAAAGAUCUUGCACUGACUAGUUUUAUGUCAACUUGGCCAAGCCCUAGUCAUCAGAGAGGAGGGAACCUCAAUUGAGAAAAGUCCUGCAAAAGUCUUGGUAGCAAUUGACAACCCAGGAUUGAAGGGGUCAUGAAGACAGUUGAGGCUUGGCACCAUGAAGAGAGCCCAUUAGAGACUAUUGGUGAGAGUGCAGCCCAAUGGCAAUAGAAGACCCCAGAAUUUUAAAGAUUCUAGCACCAUGGGAUGACCACCAAGUGCCAAGAACAGCACUAUCUUUGGAAGGAGCCAGCCUGACCUGAACUGGAGAUAAUCUAUGUGUGCAGGAGAAGGUGGAGCCAGCGAAAUGACCUUUGAAGGUGGCCAGAAGAUCCUGAGUGAAUCCCAGACAUUGAACAGUGAUUUAUUUACGCUACUGGAGUUUGGCUUGGUUUUGAUCUGAUUGUGACUGUGCCCAGAUUCUUCGCUCUUGGAAUAAGAAAGUAUUUGUUUUUGAUUUGCUGGAGCCCAGAGUUGAGAGACUUUGAACUUUUAAAGAGAUUUUGGAGUUUUACAGAGCUUUUGUUUUUAAAAAGAGACUGAAUAUUUUUAAAGAGACAGCUUUUAAAGCGUUUGCAUUUGUAAUGUUAUGGGACAUUUUAAGUGGAUAAAAUGUUUUAUAUCUCCAUGUCGAUAUUAAUGUGUGAUCUUGGGGAUGAACAAGACAGGAAAAGUUAUGUUUUAAUAGUGAUGUGUUUAUGUGUCAAGCUGACAAGGGUCCAUUGCUGGCUAGUUUUAUGUCAACUUGACAAGCUAGAGUCAUCUGAGAGGAGGGAACUUUUAUUGAGAAAAGGUAUCCAUAAGAUUGGACUAUCAUCUUCUUAAUUAGUGAUUGAUGUUGUGGGGCCUUGGUGGUGCCAUCCUGGGCUGGUGGUCCUGGGCUCUAUGAGAAAGCAUCUGAACAAGAUAGGAGGAGAAAGCCAGGAAGCAGCAUCCUCCAUGGCCUCUGCACCAGCCCCUGCCUCCACGUUCCCACCCAGUUUGAGUUCCUUCCUUGGCUUCCUUCAGUGGACUGUGACUUGGGAUAAGCAAGUCAAAUAGAACCUUUUCCACAAGUUAAUUUUGGUCAUGGCAUUUCAUCACAGUAAUGGUAACCCUAACCAAUCCAUACAUGCGGAUCCCUUUCCCAUCUACUUCACAGGCUCUUUUGGGAGUCAGCGAAAUAGUGUGUACUUUUUUACUGGAUAUAUAUCAAAUCCCUUUUGAUAGCUAUGAAGCAGAGAUAUCACCUCAAAGGAGUCAUUCAUCAGGGACACCAAGCCACCCCCUAGCUGAUGUCUAGAAGACACUCAUUCUGAGCUCUUAUAAAUGGCUGGUUACCAAUAUAGCAACAGAUUCACCAUCUGAGAAUUUCUCAGGGCCAAUGGUCACAUGGAGAACAAGUGACAUGUGACUUUUGAUACAGUCUCCACCAUCCCCUUCAGUCCUGCUGUUUCUCAACUGUCUCAUACAGUGACCUGCAGUCAUGUCCCACAAUGCAUCCUGUCUGAUUUCUGAUUCACAGAGUCAAAACAAUCCUUUUGACAAUGAAUGCAGUCCGGAAAGAUCUGUGAGAUAAGGCAAGAGCAUUUGGAAAGGAUCUUGCCUCCAGAACUCCAAUCACUUUGGAGAAAAAAAAAAAACAAGGAAUGGGAAAAGCAACUUGUUACUGCUUCAAAAGAUUCAUUGCUGCUUGAUAUCUAAGACAAAACUCAAAAACUAUGGGCAUCUUGCUUUCCAAGCCCUGCUUCUGAGAAGCUUGUGAUGUUCACAGAGACCAAUGCACAAUUUUAUUAUUGGUAAAUUGCUUUAUUUCAGGACGUCAAGGCUCCACUUUUCCUAUUUUGAAGUGGGACAUUCUUUGAAAAAUGCCUUGUCAGUGGUUAUGGUUGCUUAGAGCCAGAGUAGGCCGUGACAUUUGCUCCAUCCAUCCCAGAUGGUAGUUUCAUCUCUUUGUUCUCCUGCUGUUAACAAUAAGAAAAAAACUGGUCCACUCUGUAGAGACAGCCCAGAGGACUGGGUGGAUGAGUUAGCUCUACUCUGUGGUUUCAAGCACACUUAUUCACAUUCCCAGUUUUGAUCACUUUCCACUGUUAGCCUCAAAAGGCAGACAUGAUCUGAUAGCUUGAAAAACUAGAAUUCUUCUCACUGUACUCCAUUAACCUAGCAAGAGCCAAUAGCCAUGAAGAAGAGGAUCAUUUGGGGGUCUCUCCUUCCUCCCCUCUCUAAUGAAGAUGGUACCUAUGCUAUAGGGUCAUUGGGAGCAUUAGAUGUGAUAUAUGACAACCUGCUGGCAUUCUGUUUGGCACCACCAUGUGCCCACAAGUGGACUUAAACCCAAACUAAAAAAAAAAAGUCAGCUGUCCUCACAUCCCAUGCUUCAAGUUCUAGGCAUCUUCAUGGUAAGGACACAUGGUCCCUGACCUACUGUUAAGCACUAUCAGCUCCAUGUACAAAUAUUAGAAUAAUGUUCCUAUUCUGCCUAGAGGUUGUGUGGAACAUUUAUCAAAUUUUCUAUUCCUUCUACUCCGGAACCUUGCAACCAUGACCUACAGUUUGCUUCAGGUAUCUGAUAGAGAGUCCAUAGGAGUGUUACCCUACAAACAGCUGCUUGCCAGGGCAUGGUAGCACAUACAUGUGAUCUCAGUAUUUGAGAGGCAGAUUUUGGUGGAUCUCUAUGAUCCAGAGGUCAACCUGGUCUAUGUAGUGAGUCCUAGGCCAGCUAAAGUGAUGCAGUGAGACCCUGAUCCAACCAAAAACCAAGUAACCUCUUUUCUCCACUGUGUUUGAUCCUGUAGAUGAGUUCUCCAUCUCUGUGGUAGCAGAGGAGAGAGUGCAGGAGAUGAGAAUCUGAAACGUAGAGCUAACAAGGUGGAUGGGAUUGGUUUGUCUCUGCAUACUCACCCUUCUCCAGAAGACAAGUGCUCAUCUGCUCCAGCAAUGUCGCUGUAGGAUGCUGACUGGAAGCUCUUGUAAUACAUCUCACUUAUUCAUCAUUCUCAUCCCCUAAAGAAUCUGGAGGAAAAAAAAGAUCAGAAAAUUCCAUUUGCUGUUUCCUAUUUAAUGAAGUCAAGCAUUCUUACAAAAUGAAGAGUGCAGCUCCAGGUCAGCUUUUAAUUAGCUUCAGGAGCACUUGUUUCAAACCAGCCUCAUCCCCAAAGCUGGUCACACUCUGUCCUGAAAGAGAUAGGAACUCAAUUGCAUUUUGUCUUGUCAAAUCACAACAAUGUAUGCCACCAGCAUCCAUGUCACAUGGGGAAAAUGUGCUCCUUGGUUGCUAGGCACUGUGAAUUUCUUGACCCCACUAGAAUGGCAGAACUUAUGCAAAGCUCUUGAAGAAUGGUAAUUUUGGUCAAAUUUUGGUCUUUUAUUUAUUUUUUGAUAGUCAACUGUGUAGACAUGGGCCAAUUUCCCCAAGUCAACAGCAGAGAAAAUAAGGACUUUGGAGUCAAACAGACCCUGAAUAAAACCUUGCUUUCUCAGCUGA